CUUUGGGUGGUGAUCUUGACACACUUCAGAGAAGUCUGACUGUUGAGCAGCUUCCCCUGUGGGAGAAAAACAACAGACCCUAUGGCUCACAUCCCAACCCAUCCUGUCUCAUCCUGUCUCCUGCCUAUUGAGGGGAAUAUAUAUUUGAAUCUCUGCCUCUUUGCUCCUUCUUACCUAACAGAUUUUCAGUCCAAGAGAAGAGGCUCUUCUAUUUAGGUCCUGAGGUUACAGACUAAAUAUCUGGGAAUGAUCCAGUUGGAGGCUGUGUUAUGGACACCUCAUUCCAGAAGACAAUCAAUGAAUCUCAACUUUGUCAUGUCUCCUGGGACAGAGACUUGCAGCAGUUUUGGGCUACCAUAUGGGUGCUUUAAUUUCUGUCCAAGUCUCCUACAGACAAAGCAGACAACAAAUGUGAUCAGUGCUGACACUGGAGGAGCUCUGCAGUUGGAACAUUCAUUUCACUAUAAGCAAGUACAACCCUGGCACAGAGUAUCCAAAUGAAAGGCACCACCAACAAUAAAACAUACACUGCCAAAAAUGAAUCCA
rnacentral:lncRNA from 1 species